AUGAACGCUGGCGGCGUGCCUAAUACAUGCAAGUCGAGCGAACAGACGAGGAGCUUGCUCCUCUGACGUUAGCGGCGGACGGGUGAGUAACACGUGGAUAACCUACCUAUAAGACUGGGAUAAUUUAGGGAAACCGGAGUUAAUCCCGGAUAAUAUAUUGAACCGCAUGGUUCAAUAGUGAAAGACGGUUUUGUUGUCACUUAUAGAUGGAUCCGCGCCGCAUUAGCUAGUUGGUAAGGUAACGGCUUACCAAGGCAACGAUGCGUAGCCCACCUGAGAGGGUGAUCGGCCACACUAGAACUGGGACACGGUCCAGACUCCUACGGGAGGCAGCAGUAGGGAAUCUUCCGCAAUGGGCGAAAGCUUGGCGGAGCAACGCCGCGUGAGUGAUGAAGGUCUUCGGAUCGUAAAACUCUGUUAUUAGGGAAGAACAAAUGUGUAAGUAACUAUGCACGUCUUGACGGUACCUAAUCAGAAAGCCACGGCUAACUACGUG
rnacentral:rRNA from 1 species